rnacentral:rRNA from 1 species
AGAGUUUGAUCAUGGCUCAGAGCGAACGCUGGCGGCGUGCUUAACACAUGCAAGUCGAACGCGCAGUUUUCUGUAGCAAUACAGGAAGCGGGCGCGUGGCGAACGGGUGCGUAACACGUGGGCAACUUACCCUCAAGUGGGGAAUAACCCGCCGAAAGGCGGGCUAAUACCGCAUAACAUUCCGGGGUCUCAUGGUUCCGGGAUCAAAGCUCGCAAGAGCGCUAGAGGAGGGGCCCGCGCCCGAUUAGCUUGUUGGCGAGGUAACGGCUCACCAAGGCGAUGAUCGGUAGCCGGUCUGAGAGGAUGGCCGGCCACACUGGAACUGAGACACGGUCCAGACUCCUACGGGAGGCAGCAGUGGGGAAUCUUGCGCAAUGGGCGAAAGCCUGACGCAGCGACGCCGCGUGGGGGAUGAAGCUUUUCGGAGUGUAAACCCCUUUCGACCCGGACGAAACCCCGCAAGGGAUUGACGGUACGGGGAGAAGAAGCCCCGGCUAACUACGUGCCAGCAGCCGCGGUAAAACGUAGGGGGCCAGCGUUGCUCGGAAUUAUUGGGCGUAAAGGGUCUGUAGGUGGUGCGGCAAGUCGGGAGUGAAAUCUUGGGGCUCAACUCCAAGGCUGCUUCCGAAACUGCCGCGCUAGAGUGCGGGAGAGGCGAGUGGAAUUGCAGGUGUAGCGGUGAAAUGCGUAGAUAUCUGCAGGAACACCAGAGGCGAAGGCGGCUCGCUGGACCGCAACUGACACUGAGAGACGAAAGCUAGGGGAGCAAACAGGAUUAGAUACCCCCGUAGUCC